CCUACGGGUGGCAGCAGUGGGGAAUAUUGGGCAAUGGGCGCAAGCCUGACCCAGCAACGCCUCGUGAAGGAAGAAGGCUCUCGGGUUGUAAACCUCUUUUAGGAGGGAAGCGCAGAAGACGGUACCUCUUGAAUAAGCCACGGCUAACUACGUGCCAGCAGCCGCGGUAAGACGUAGGUGGCAAGCGUGUUCCGGAUUUACUGGGGUUAAAGGGCGUGUAGCCGGGGUGACAAUUCAGAUGUGAAAUCCCGUGGCUCAACCACGGAACUGCAGUUGAAACUGUCGGUCUUGAGUAUCGGAGAGGCAUGCGGAAUGCGUGGUGUAGCGGUGAAAUGCGUAGAUAUUAGGCGGAACACCGGUGGCGAAGGCGGCCUGCCGGACGACAACUGACGGGGAGGCGCGAAAGCGCGGGGAGCAAACAGGAUUAGAUACCCCAGUAGUC
rnacentral:rRNA from 1 species